UUAGGUGGCCAAGCAUAGUGGGUUCUUGUGAUGGUCUUGUUUGCAAUUAUGAAGAUGGCGUUGGGAUCAUUUGGAAUCCUGCAACUAGGGAGACAAAAGUCAUGCCACCUUGCUCUGUACAAGGAAGUGAAACUCAGGCAGUAGGGUUUGGUUUUGAUUGCAUUGAAAAUGAUUAGAAGGUCUGUGUCAUUCACCUAUUUAAGACUGAUGAUGCCGGUCUUUAUAAUGAUACUGAGGGUGAGCUUGAGAAAGAGAGUGAGGCUGAGGCCCAGGCUGUGGCUGAGAUUGAGGCUAGUGAUACUGAGGGUGAGGUUGAGACUGGGAGUGAAGCUGAGGCUGAGAUGAGGCUGGUGAUACUGAGGGUGAGCUUGAGAAUGAGAGUGAGGCUGAGGCCCAGGCUGUGGCUGAGAUUGAGGCUAGUGAUACUGAGGGUGAGGUUGAGAUUGGGAGUGAAGCUGAGGCUGAGAUUGAGGCUGGUGAUACUGAGGGUGAGGUUGAGACUGGGAGUGAAGCUGAGGCUGAGGCUGAGACUGAAACUCAAGCGAAUGAUAAUGCUAAUGCUGAUGCUGAUGCUGCUGAUGAUAUUGACGAUGAUCCUGCUGCUGAUAAGAAUUAUGAUUCUAAUUCUGAUUCUGACGUUAAGUGGUUAAAGAUUGAGGUCUAUAGCCUCAGAUUGGAUUCUUGGAAAUUGGUUACUGGAUAUAAAAUGAAGAAGAAGAGAUUGUUCUAUAUAGCGGAUAAAGUUGGCAUGCACAACAAUGGAGUUAUUUCAUGGGUAGCAUAUGGUCAAAGAAAUGAUCCGAAGUGGAAAUAUAGUGAUUCUGUGUAGCACUGAAAGAGGAAAUGAUUUCAUUUGAUAUCAACAAGGAGGUGAUCACAAGGACACACUUGCCGACUGAUAUUGCUAUUCAUAAGGAUCUUGAAAUUAAUAAUUAUGUGGGGGUUAAAGAUGGAGACCUUGCGGUUCUUAAUGCUGUUAAGCCCGAAGACGAUGAGGAUGAAAUUAGUUUGUUUGUAUUGUUUAGUCUUUGGAAGUUGCCUGAAAUCGGUAACAAAGACUCAUGGGAACAUUCUUUGGCAAUAACCAGACCAUUGGAAUGGUUUUCACCUACAUGGGUAAUUUGGAAUGGCUGUUUGGUGUUCUGGAAUUAUAAAAAUAUGCAAGAUGAGCAAAAUCAUCAAACUCUGAGCUUCUUUGAUAUUGGUCUAACUGAAACUCUCUGCCUCUUGAUAUUUCAUUAGAAAUUGAACUUUGCAAAGCAGAUGCAGAAUUGGAAAUCGCAUCCACGUUUUACUUCCUUAUAUUCCUACUUAUUGGAUUUUGGCUUGUAUUAAUUCAUACUUAACUACCUUAUAUUAGUAAGUAUUCCUUAUAUUCA